AUCAGUGGCGAACGGGUGAGUAACACGUGAGCAAUCUGCCCCUGACUCUGGGAUAACAGCUGGAAACAGCUGCUAAUACCGGAUACGAGUUGCGAAGGCAUCUUCAGCAGCUGGAAAGAAUUUCGGUCAGGNANNNNNUCGCGGCCUAUCAGCUUGUUGGUGAGGUAAUGGCUCACCAAGGCGUCGACGGGUAGCCGGCCUGAGAGGGUGACCGGCCACACUGGGACUGAGACGCGGCCCAGACUCCUACGGGAGGCAGCAGUGGGGAAUAUUGCACAAUGGGCGAAAGCCUGAUGCAGCAACGCCGCGUGAGGGACGACGGCCUUCGGGUUGUAAACCUCUUUUAGCAAGGAAGAAGCGAAAGUGACGGUACUUGCAGAAAAAGCGCCGGCUAACUACGUGCCAGCAGCCGCGGUAAUACGUAGGGCGCAAGCGUUAUCCGGAAUUAUUGGGCGUAAAGAGCUCGUAGGCGGUUUGUCGCGUCUGCUGUGAAAACCCGAGGCUCAACCUCGGGCCUGCAGUGGGUACGGGCAGACUAGAGUGCGGUAGGGGAGAUUGGAACUCCUGGUGUAGCGGUGGAAUGCGCAGAUAUCAGGAAGAACACCGAUGGCGAAGGCAGAUCUCUGGGCCGUAACUGACGCUGAGGAGCGAAAGGGUGGGGAGCAAACAGGCUUAGAUACCCUGGUAGUCCACCCCGUAAACGUUGGGAACUAGUUGUGGGGUCCAUUCCACGGAUUCCGUGACGCAGCUAACGCAUUAAGUUCCCCGCCUGGGGAGUACGGCCGCAAGGCUAAAACUCAAAGGAAUUGACGGGGACCCGCACAAGCGGC
rnacentral:rRNA from 1 species